UUCGGUGGUCAUAGCGUUAGGGAAACGCCCGGUUACAUUCCGAACCCGGAAGCUAAGCCUUUCAGCGCCGAUGGUACUGCAGGGGGGACCCUGUGGGAGA
rnacentral:rRNA from 1 species